UACGUAGGGGGCAAGCGUUAUCCGGAAUUACUGGGUGUAAAGGGAGCGUAGACGGUGAGGUAAGUCUGGAGUGAAAGGCAGGGGCCCAACCCCUGGACUGCUCUGGAAACUAUCCCACUAGAGUGCAGGAGAGGUGAGCGGAAUUCCUAGUGUAGCGGUGAAAUGCGUAGAUAUUAGGAGGAACACCAGUGGCGAAGGCGGCUUACUGGACUGUAACUGACGUUGAGGCUCGAAAGCGUGGGGAGCAA
rnacentral:rRNA from 1 species